rnacentral:rRNA from 1 species
AUUGAACGCUGGCGGCAUGCCUUACACAUGCAAGUCGAACGGCAGCACGGGAGCAAUCCUGGUGGCGAGUGGCGAACGGGUGAGUAAUAUAUCGGAACGUGCCCAGUCGUGGGGAUAACGUAGCGAAAGCUACGCUAAUACCGCAUACGAUCUAUGGAUGAAGGCGGGGGAUCGCAAGACCUCGCGCGAUUGGAGCGGCCGAUAUCAGAUUAGGUAGUUGGUGAGGUAAAGGCUCACCAAGCCGACGAUCUGUAGCUGGUCUGAGAGGACGACCAGCCACACUGGGACUGAGACACGGCCCAGACUCCUACGGGAGGCAGCAGUGGGGAAUUUUGGACAAUGGGCGCAAGCCUGAUCCAGCAAUGCCGCGUGCAGGAUGAAGGCCUCGGUGUAACUGCUUUGUACGG